ACGCCGAAGUUCCACCACUUUGGAGAUUGGAAAAUAUUUAGAUAGAAAACUACUAUAUAACUCCUUCCAAUCUCCAUGAACACUCCCUACUUUAAGUUUAUACCAAUGUCUAGCUUUUCCCGUUAAAGAGAACGGAAAGAGCUUCCAUUUAAGGGUCUCAUCGGACAUGCCUUCUAUGCGAAGGAGGUCACAGACUCGAUAAAACUCUCUAAGGUGUGUGUAUGGGUUUUCCUCACCUUCUCCUGAGAAAGGUUGUUUUUGAAUAAAUUCUAUGUAUUCGGGGUCUAUCUCAAAACUAGAUGCUAUGAUAGGCUUUGAAGAUUUUGGUGGUUCGAGAUGUGUGCCCAUAGGUCUAUGAAAUUCAUAGAUAGACAUGUUUGAAUUCAUGAUAGACCAGAGAUCAAGGAUUAGAUAAGAAGAAAGAUUAGCAGAGAUGAGGCAAAGGAUAAAAGGAAAAUAUUUUUUUUAUUAUUUUUUUUAAAAAAAUGAUUAAGCUAGUUCGUAGUCAACUCAGCAACCGUUUCCCCGGCAACGGUGCCAAAAAUGCUUGUUGACACUUGCUAACACCACUUGAAUACUAGGUUGUCAUCCCCAGCAUGGCACUAGAGUGUACUAUGGUAUUUAUACGCACACAGAUAAUCCGCAAGCGCACGGAUACCGUUGAAGCUUUUACCCGGUUAAAGGUUUUAUCGUAUCCACAGGGAAACGGGAGAACCAACUACGCUCUAACUUAACCAAGAUAGAUAGAUAGGUGUAAAUAGGAAAGAUGAUAGAAUCGAAUAAGAACAAUAUUAAAGGUAAGAUAACAGUGAGUGAUAAUAUGGGAAUAGAGAAUAGAGCAAUUCUAGUAUAUGGGCGAUGGUAGCAGAAUAGAGAGGAUAACUAUGGUUUCUCUACUUCAAAGGGGUAUGUCUAUGUCUGGGACGAACCACGUGAUAAGAGUACACCACAAAGGAUGCUUAUCCAUAGGCCGAUAAACCCUACCCGUCCUGCUAACGAGAGGUGGACUACAGGGGACCAACGUAACUGUCACCUACGCGGCCUACCACAUGAUCUAGCUAGUCGGGGGAUAUCCACAAGUAAUCUAGGUCUAAGCACCACGCUUACACCUAUACUACAACUCUAACCUAUAGGGUCCUAUAGAUUAGAAGUACUCAAAAGAGUUGUGAACCAGAACAUACAUGAUUAGUAAUUGCAUAAUGAAUUAGAAGUAGAUUACCAGAGUCAUCCCAUGAGCAAGCUUGAUUAGAGCUUGAUCAUGGCGAAGUACAACCGGAGGAAGAACAGACAGGCCGGCCUCUCCUCUAAUCCUCCUUCGCUCUCCACCUCGCUACUAUCUAGAUCUACUCUAGUUUAGAGAAGAGAGGAGAGCUCUCAUCUCUAAACCCUAGCUUUUGCUCUGUCUAUGAAUAAUGAAUAAUGAUCAAGGGGUUGUCUCCUCCAGGGGCCAGGGGGUCUGGUUUUAUAGUCCCCUCAAGUGAACCUGGGCCGUCGGAUCAAACCGACAUUGAUUGAACGGUUAUUCUUGAUCCUUUAGGUCGGUGGAGCAUAAUCCGCGAGAUUGAGCGUGAUUGGCCACAGGAGGUGGGCGGGCACCCAGUAGGACAGGGCGGGCACCCUGUCUCUGGCCCCGAUUCGCCUCCGCUUCGGUCUCGUGGCUUCUGGAGUCUUCUAGAUGUAAGAUAAUUGCGCGGCACGUUAAUAUCUUUACGUAAUCCCGACGUGUGGGCCUUUCUUCCUUAUUUCCUGAUAACCCCCUGCAGAAAUAGACAAACACCAAAACUCGUAGAAUUCUGUCAAAUAAAACCCUAAGUCUAGAUGUUGAUUUCAUUUGGAUCCUUUUCUUUGUUUAUUUGAUAAUUAAAUUUGAUACUUAAGGACCGUCAACAAACUCCCCCAAGCUUACCUCUUGCUCGUCCCUGAGCAAGGAUAGACUCAGCUAUAGAUCAUAAGUUGUUGCAAUAUCUUUAAUAAUUGACGGUACACAUGCUUUUACAUGAGGUCUCAUCUCUGAGUUAGAGUAAACUGUCAAGACUUAAAACUUACUUACUUUACCUUUCACCAUGGGACUUGUAACCGUCACUUCUGUCUUGAGUGGUUAAAAGCUAGAACAGUCCAGUCAAGUGCCAUGUCGCUUAUUCUUGAUCAGCUAUAGCUCUGGAGUUUUUGCAGAUUUUCAAAUAAAACUCAGAGAUUCCUUUGUAUGACUCUCUCAUAUCUCUCUUUUGUGGUAUUUCUGGAUCCUUACCAAGGCAGUGAUGGUAUAUGCCUUCUCUCAAAACAUGUGGUAUUUGUGGUAUAAGGCAUAGUGACAUUGCCUUCUCUCUCACCCUACUCUAAUAAGGCUUUAAUAUCUGGAGCUCAUAGGUGGGAGAUAAAGUAUACAUACUUACAAGACAUGUAUUGCAUAGUCAAACCAUGGAUCCAAAGAAACAAAUCAAUAAGCCAAAUCAAGAUGUGCAUGUGUGGCGAAUGAAUAGUGUAUGGUGAUGAUGGUGAUAACAAUGGUGAAAGUCUAAUUCUACUUUUGCUCUUUUGAGGGGAUACAUACCUUCCUUGCUUUUUGAAACUUUAUGAGAAGAAUGAGAUGCUAUUCUUUUUCUUUUCUCUCACAUGGGUAUCCUGUACCCCUAAUUCUACUGUCGGACACUUGUCCAUUUUUACCUCUCGUCUCACUCUUUUUCUUUUCUUUCGAGGUUCCGGGCACUUGCCCCUUUUUAUUUCCUCGUUUAUUUUUUUUUUCUUUUCUUUUUUUCUUCUUCUUUUUUUUCAGAGCACUCAUCUCUUGAGAUAAUAUAGCAAGUGGUAGUAGCAAGAUAACUUGAGCAUUUAUUUCACAAGGGAAAAACACAGAUGUUUUUGGCUAUUCUCUCCCGAAUUAGGAGUACAAUAUUUUUAGGUGAUUCUGGAGAUGGAAAUGGAUGGAUAUAUAUGGAUGGUACUUUCGGAGUAGAAGUAGCAUAUAUAUGAGUGAACGUGCAAGUGAAUCUUGAUUUAACCACAUGACAAGCUCCUAAGGGUCUACACAGCUUGACCACACUCAAUGCUCAUAAGCAGUAAAUAAUAAAUGUGUGGCUCAAAGUCUAGCAAGCAUGUAUAUAUGGCUGUGGUAGGAAUUUAAACUUUCAUCAUACAGGAACUCAUCAUGCAACAUUUUAAAGAUUUUUCAAAGAUAAAAUUCUCCAGAAUUCUAGCAUCUCUAGGAACAGAUAAACAGCAGCUCAACCUUCCCAUAUCUUAUCCGUUAACAACUUAGAUUUUAGAUCAAGUUUUCAUCCCACAAGUUUAGAUCUAGAGCAAGCUUUAAAUUAUAACAUCUAUGUCUAAACUUGAGAGAGAACUUCAAAUUUGCAAAUUAGGCAGAGCAACUAUUCAUCAUAUCCAUGCUAGAGUUUUAUUAUUAAGAUUCAUAGCAAACUUUAUUUAUUUAUUUAUUUAUUUAGCAAACUAAGAAAAGUAUAUAUAUAUAAGCAUAAAAUCUUUAUUUGGUUUUUCAUAGUUUAUGUAUUUUAAUAUUCUAAUAUAAUAUAAGUAUAAAGGUAGGUAUAAAUACUUAGCGAGAUAAAUAGGGGUGCUCUCCCUCAAGCUGAAUUUUGACGUAAUUUCUCUUGAUGUAGCUAGCAGGUGGCAGAGGGGUAUUUGAAAGUCAGCAGCAUUCUGACAGCAAUUAGAAUAUCCUCUAUCUUUCGGCGAGGGUUCAAUGUUUUAAGUCUUCUUAACAAGACUUCUCACCGUGUUCAUUCUUCAGGUGCGUCAUUUGAUUCAGGUGCGGACCUUGACGUCUGCACCUCUUGAUACGGUGUCACCCAUAUUCUUCGUUUGCCCAGCAGUUCGAAGUGCGGUGUUAGCAGUAUCUUGCUCAAUGUGUUUGUGCCCGUAGUGUACCUGCUCAUAGAGACAAGGCAGAGAUCAAGUGAACCAAAAGUGUAUUUGUUCUUCUCUAACCUUAAGCAUAGUGAGCAAGACAAGUUGAUGGAUGAUAAGUUCAUGAGUGUAGCACUUAUAACAUUUGUCAGAUCAGAUCGCUCAACCUUAUGGAAAGAUAAUAUAUCUAUGUAUAGGUCUUUUUAUUUAUAUCUCUCAAUGAUUGAAUGUGUAACAUUUUAGCUCAUAUGAUUAGGAGUGUGGGAUCAUGGAGGUAGUACUAAGAACAAGGAUUAAAGGACUAAACAUGUUGAAUCAGUUGGGUUGGUUAAUCUAGAGUUGUAAAUCAUACACGUUUGUCUCUUUUAUUUAUAUGAACGCCAGAACCAAGGAGAAGCUUAUAAAAGUGAUAGUCAAGUACCUUAGGAUGUUACCUUGCUUGAAAAGUGAUGGUACAGUAUCACCUUGUGGAAGCUUUCCUUUCUUAGCGGUUGUGCAUCGUGUUCGUGGCACCCUCCAUGGAUCUUCACUUUAUGAUGAAUGAGCUAUGUCCUUCUUGUGCUAAUUGUUAAACUUCAUGUGUCACUUUCUUCGUCUCUGAUGUGAGUUUAUCUCAGGACUUCCCAAAUCGAUAUUGAAAGUUUUUCUGCAGGGGUUAGUCCGACAAAAUAUACCAAUAUCUACUCAAGCAGUUUUUAGUUCAAUAACCAAACUAGACUCCAUGUCUAAUCAGAUUAAGGAAGGCUAUUUAACCUAAGCACCAUGCUUUAUUUAAAUGCCAAUGGAAGUAUGGCGAGUACUUCCAAACCAACACUUGCUAGUAAAUAGACAACGGUAGCAUGACAGCGUUUAUAGAGAUCUACUCAAGUGGAGAUGAAGUAGUGUGAUUAGUAUUUAACAAAUUGAGCAUGUCUCAAAGGUAGGGACAACCAGCAUAGCAACAUGGCAAAGGAUGUUUUUAUGUAAAGUACUCCCCCAAGCUUGAAUUUUGCAAAAAUUCAAGUUUGGAUGAAUUUAAUUCAAUGUUGUAUGAUGAUUGGUUGGACAUACCUUGUGCUUGUCAUUCAUCCGAUCUUCUUGCUCCAAUCUUAGAAAGGUUAGUGACAAGAAUACCCGAAGGAAUAUAUUUUUUUUUACAAUUAUCCUUAUAUGCUCAAUACACAAGGUAAUGUUGCAAAUAAUUAAAGGCUCAUGUUACGAUCUGAUCAAUGCUUAUUUUAAGACACUAAGCUUGUCCUUGGGAAACCAUCAGUUUAUGUUGGCGAAGUGGUUUCCCCUCCGACGCCAACCUAUAUCUAGAUCAACUCAACGUGAUCUGCAAUAUUUAUUAUAGACAUAUGCAUCGACAACCGCCCUUUUAAAGUUUUUAUAAAUUGAAAGGAAGAGGGGGUUGGAGAUCUCAAGUGUGGUGAUGUCGGAGAGACCAAUAGAUUGGGAAGAUGUUGCAUAUGAGCAUGGAGUAAACGAAGUGGCUAUGAAAUAAAUUCCAUGCUCAUUAAUGUUAUCUUCGUCUCUAAUCUGAAUGUUCGGAGUUUCUCCUGGAUUGGUCUCACCUAUGUCCUGUUCUGUAGUUGGAUGAAUCUCAUCUUCAAAGGGAGUCAAGAACUCACCAUUUGAAAUUGAGCCAAAGUCAGAACCUAUUAAGGCUUCUUUCUUAUCCAUCCAUUCUACACAUUCUAGCCAUUUAGAACUUGUGAUCAAAAUAGGGGAGGUGUUAGAAUUUUCUAUAUGGCUUAGCUCUCCUUCUAUGGCAUUACUUGACAUGCCAUCCUUAUGGUCUUCAUGACUCCUAUGGUUUGGUCGUCUUGGUGAAUUGCUAGGAUCAUCAUGAGAGUGAAAAGAAGAGGGAUAAGAGGGAUCUCUAAGGUCAAGGAUGGAUUUAGAACUUGUGAACAUGGAAGGGGAGUAGAUAGAAUUGUCUAUAUGGCUUAGCUCUCCUUCACUUGAUAUGUCAUCCUCGACUUCUUCAUGAUAGGAACCAGGACAUUCUCUAAGAGAAACAUUAUUGCAAUGAUUUGAAUUAUCCCUGCUUGAAGGUCUCUUAUAGAACCAGAAGUCUAAACCAUCAGCAUUUAAAAGAUUUAAGGUCGGAAUUCCUUCCUCCCUUGGAGAAUUUUGGGGUAUUGAUGGUUUAGAAUCGAUAGCUAAAGUUUGGGAUUGAAGUGGUUGUGAUCUGGCUAUCAAAACUUCUUCUUCUUGUCUAGGAACUGGUUCUUUCUCUUUCUCAGGGAUAUAAAAGCUAGGAGACUUUCCGCUCAUUAAAUCAAUCAAAUUCCAAGCUUCACUAGCGGAUAUGUGGUGGAAAGAUCCUCCAGAGGCCGCAUGAAGGGUUUGCCUAUUUUUCCUACUAAGGCCCUCAAAAAAGUGAAUUAGAAGAACUUCUUCUGGAAUAGAAAGUUUUGGGCCAGUGAGAGUAAGGUUAAUAAAGCGGUCCCAUGAUUUGCCAAGAGAUUCUUCUUCCAGUUGUCUAAAAGAAAGAAUCUCACGCCGAAAUUCCACCACUUUGGAGAUUGGAAAAUAUUUAGAAAGAAAACUACUAUAUAACUCCUUCCAAUCUCCAUGAACACUCCCUACUUUAAGUUUAUACCAAUGUCUAGCUUUUCCCGUUAAAGAGAACGGAAAGAGCUUCCAUUUAAGGGUCUCAUCGAACAUGCCUUCUAUGCGAAGGAGGUCACAGACUCGAUAAAACUCUCUAAGGUGUGUGUAUGGGUUUUCCUCACCUUCUCCUGAGAAAGGUUGUUUUUGAAUAAAUUCUAUGUAUUCGGGGUCUAUCUCAAAACUAGAUGCUAUGAUAGGCUUUGAAGAUUUUGGUGGUUCGAGAUGUGUGCCCAUAGGUCUAUGAAAUUCAUAGAUAGACUUGUUUGAAUUCAUGAUAGACCAGAGAUCAAGGAUUAGAUAAGAAGAAAGAUUAGCAGAGAUGAGGCAAAGGAUAAAAGGAAAUUAUUUUUUUAUUAUUUUUUUUAAAAAAAUGAUUAUGCUAGUUCGUAGUCAACUCAGCAACCGUUUCCCCGGCAACGGUGCCAAAAAUGCUUGUUGACACUUGCUAACACCACUUGAAUACUAGGUUGUCAUCCCCAGCAUGGCACUAGAGUGUACUAUGGUAUUUAUACGCACACAGAUAAUCCGCAAGCGCACGGAUACUGUUGAAGCUUUUACCCAGUUAAAGGUUUUAUCGUAUCCACAGGGAAACGGGAGAACCAACUACGCUCUAACUUAACCAAGAUAGAUAGAUAGGUGUAAAUAGGAAAGAUGAUAGAAUCGAAUAAGAACAAUAUUAAAGGUAAGAUAACAGUGAGUGAUAAUAUGGGAAUAGAGAAUAGAGCAAUUCUAGUAUAUGGGCGAUGGUAGCAGAAUAGAGAGGAU
rnacentral:lncRNA from 1 species